CGUAACUCGCUGCGUGCAGCCGCGGGAAUAAGGCGGAGGGCAGCGGUGUCCGGAAGUAUUGGGCGUAAAGCGUCCGUAGGUGGGUAGUCAAGUCUGCGGUGAAAGACUGGGGGUUAACCCUGGAAAGGCCGUGGAAACUGACGAGCUAGAGUGCAGUAGGGGUAGAGGGAAUUCCCGGUGUAGCGGUGAAAUGCGUAGAGCUCGGGAAGAACAUCGGUGGCGAAAGCGCUCUGCUGGACUGCAACUGACACUCAGGGACGAAAGCUAGGGGAGCGAAUGGGAUUAGAUACCCGGGUAGUC
rnacentral:rRNA from 1 species